CCGGACUUGAUGGGCGGUCUUCCCUGAGGACGGAGUGGAGGCGCCAUGGCGGUUGCGGGCCCGCGUGUGGGGCUGGCUGGUCUGCGGGAGGAAGACGUUCCCCGCCCGCACCCCGGCCGGUGCAAAGGGGCUGUGCCCGCUCCUCGAGGCUCCGCGUCUUCCUUUCCGGCCACCCCGCGCGGUGUAUCCCCACCUUCUCAGUGGCCAAGAGAAAUGUUUCCGCCCCUUGUCCUCAAUAGCACGGAAUUAUCCACUUAUUCCUUUGUUCAAAGACCUUAACUAACAGACUAUACACGGAUGAUGUGCAGAAGUUCCAGGCACAGUGACGAUUUUUAAAAUACCAACCAUUGCAUACUUCAUAAGACCAUUUAAGAUGAAAUAUAUUAAAACUUAAAACUUCAACAGAAUACUUAAAAGCAAAAAUUGUGACCAUUAAAAGCAAGAAAUGAUACUCAGGCAAGUUAUUUCCCUGGUGGACCAAUGUAGCUGUAAGAAAAUAGUAUAUUUAUUCAGGUGUGAACUCUGGUCAUCCACAUGUGAAACCUGGGAAUGAGUAUUAUUCUUCAACAUGAGGAAAAUGAAAGACAGUCUCAGACAAAAGCUGAAGGAGUUCAGUACCAUAAUACCUAUCCUUCAAGAAAUGCUAAAGGGAGUACUUCAAGUUCAAAUGGAAGGACACCAGAAACUUGAGGCCAUAUGAAAAUAUAUAUUUCUCUGAUAAAGCCUACGACAUCUUGUAAAUACUCUGAAGAUAGUUCUCCAAGUUCCUUCUGGUAUAUUUCAUUGGGAAUUGGAAAUUGGCUGUGCACUCAAAGUAUGCACAAGUGAACAGAUCGGGAAAGGAGACUUCUCACCUGCAAACGUGUCCAAGGACUGACACCUUCCUCAAGCUCAGCACCUAGAACACGGAUCUGAUUGAGCUAAACUGGUGAUGCACCUGCUUCCCAGCGAGGCUGUGAUCGCUAAUGGCUGUCUCCUGCUCCUGUGUCCGUGGCCUGCUCAGGAUAUGGGAGACACUUAGGCUGGCUCCUCAAUGCGUUGUGUAACUUCCAAGGCCGAGAACUUGCUGAGCAAAACAUAACUUCUUUACUUUUGUGAACACCUGGCCUCCAGAAGGCGGAAAUAUUUAGUGACAAUGUACUGAGGACAUAAUUCCUUAUUCGUUCCCUGAUCUACACAGGUCUGUCACAGAGACAAGUAAAACAGGGAAUCAGGCUUAUGGGUCAUUACUUGGCUGGGUCAAGAAGCUCUAGGCCAUGUGGGAAGACCCCUCUCUCCUCCGAGAUUUCUGCUUCAACCAAUGGGGAGCAGCUGCCCUUAAGUUCUGAACUGAAACCCUAUAAAUUCACAUAUUGAAGUGCAGACCCUUGUACCUCAAAAUGUGACUGUAUUUGGGAAUAGGGCCUUACGAGAUAUGAUGAAGUUAAAAUGGGUCAUAUGGGUGAGCCCUAAUCCAGAGCUGUGCCCCUACGAGAAGAUUAGGACAUAGCGACGCACACUCAGCUCACAUAGGUAAGUCCAUCUGAGGACGCAGCAAGAAUACGGCCAUCUGCAAGCAAGGGAGAGAGGUCUCAGAAGAAACUGAACCUGUAGACACCUUGAUCUGGGACUCGAAGCCUCCAGAGUUGUGAGAAAAUUAAUUAAGCCGCCCAGUCUGCAGUAUCUUACUCUGGCAACCCUAGCAAAACCCUAAUACAACUAUAUUUCUCCUUUAUCCUCUUUCUUUCAAAUAAAAAUUAUGAAAAUAGCACCAAAAAACACAGUGUAUAAAGUAUUUGAAAGGAGAAAAAAGCAGGGGAACCACAGGAAGGGCUGAUGAACUACACAGCCGUGAUUUCACUGGUUUUCUUUGUCUCCUACCAAAGUAAGGGAAAAUAGUCAAAAUCACCAUGGAAGGCUUGAGUAGACAUUUUAGAGAAGGCAAAUCUCUAUGGUAGAACAAACUUGAAAUGUAUUCAGUUGGUAGAAUAAAUGCAUUUUAAUCUUUGGAGGUUUAAAAAAAUUCAAUUUCUUGGAUUUCUAGAGCGGUUGUAAUACAUGUACAUGGUUGAAGGUCCUGAAAAUUGCAUUACAUUGUGCCCCCCACCACCUCCCCCUCUUUGCCCAGGAGUCCCUGCCCUCCACAGGUAGCCAUGUAUCUGGUUUCCCACGGCAAACUUCCAGAGUGUCUUUAUGUGCAUACAAGCAAAUGUGAAUGUAUAUUUCUCCUUGGCACCCUAAUUAAAAACACAAAUAGAAUAGCA